CCUACGGGUGACAGCAGUGGGGGAUAUUGCACAAUGGGGGAAACCCUGAUGCAGCGACGCCGCGUGAGCGAUGACGUAUUUCGGUAUGUAAAGCUCUCUCAGCCGUGCAGAAGAUGACGGUCCCUGACUAAGUAGCUCCGGCUAAAUACGUGCCAGCAGCCGCCGUAAUACGUAUGGAGCAAGCGUUAUCCGGAUUUAGUGGGUGGAAAGGGAUCGUAGGCGGUAAGGCAAGUCUGAUGUGAAAGGCCAGGGCUCAACCCUGGAACUGCAUUGGAAACUGGUUAACUGGAGUGUCGGAGAGGCGAGUGGAAUUCCUAGUGUAGCGGUGAAAUGCGUAGAUAUCAGGAGGAACACCAGUGGCGAAGGCGGGUUGCUGGACGAUGACUGACGCUGAGGCUCGAAAGCGUGGGGAGCAAACAGGAUUAGAUACCCUUGUAGUC
rnacentral:rRNA from 1 species